AUGGCAGCCGCCUCCGCCUCCGCCGGAAACGCGGGCGAGCCGCGGCUCGUCGACCGCUGCAUCGACGCAGCGGCGCGGUGCCGAGCAUCCGUGGAGGCCUGGCGCCGCCAACGCCGGUCCCUCGAGCGCCUGCCCGGGCAGCUGGCCGACGCGCUCCUCAGCCGCCUCGCCGCUCGCCGCCUCCUUUCCCCCUCCCUCCUCGAGGUUUUCCAGCACUCGGUGCAGGAGAUCGACUUCAGCGGCAACAUCGCCGUAGAUGCGGAGUGGCUGGCUUACCUCGGCUCCUUCCGUUACCUGGGCAUCCUCAAGCUGGCGGACUGCAAGAAGGUCGACCACUCCGCGAUCUGGGCACUGUCCGGCAUGAGUAUGCUAAAAGAAUUGGACCUGUCGAGAUGCUCUAGGAUAACUGAUGCCGGCAUCAAACAUAUAGUCUCCAUUGAUAGUCUGGAGAAGCUACACUUAUCUGAGACUGGAUUGACUGACAAUGGAGUGAUGCUCAUUUCAGCACUAAAAGGUUUAAAUUUGCUAGAUUUGGGAGGAAUUCAUAUGACCGACAAAGCGUUGCGGUCAUUACAGGUAUUGACACAACUUGAGCACCUUGAUAUAUGGGGUAGUGAAAUUACUGAUGAGGGAGCUUCAAUCCUUAAGGCGUUUACAAGAUUGAGGUUCUUAAAUGUUUCUUGGACACAUGUGACUCGUCUACCACCUCUUCCAAACAUGAAAUAUCUUAAUAUGAGCAACUGUACAAUUUAUUCCAUUCGUGGCGGUGAUUCUGAAGUUCAUAUUCCUCUGCAAAAGUUUACGGCCUCUGCAGCCUCAAUUGUUGACGUUGAUGAAGUGUUCUCUAGCAUCGUAGCAAGCUCAUUUUCAUUCUUGGAUAUGUCUGGUUGUUCUUUAAGCAACUUAUAUGGCCUGCAAAAGAUGAAAAGUCUAGAGCAUUUGGACCUUAGCUUGAGCAGAGUAACUGACGAUGCAAUCGAGUAUGUUGCAAAUAUUGGAAUGAAGCUGAGAUAUCUAAGCCUCAAGAAUACUGGAAUAACCUCUCAGGCACCAUGUAUUUUGGCAGGAACAGUUCCAAACCUGGCUUCACUGUCUUUAGCUUAUACAAAAGUUGAUGAUUCUGCUCUAGUAUAUAUCAGCAUGAUGCCUUCAUUGAGAGUGAUAGAUCUAAGUCAUACAAGUAUCAAAGGGUUCACUUGUGUUGAAGCAAACUCAGAGAAAAUACUGUCUCUGCCUCUACUUGAGCAUCUCAUAUAUCUUGAAAGUCUAAAUCUGGAGGAUGCACCACUGUCAGAUGAAGUUAUACCUCCCAUGGCAUCCUUUAGAGCACUAAAAUAUUUGUACCUGAAAAGUGAUUUCUUGUCUGAUCCCGCAUUGCAUGCCCUGUCUUCUGCCUCAAAUUUGAUACAUCUUGGAUUUUGUGGGAGUGUAUUAUCAAACUCUGGGCUUCUGCAAUUUGUGCCCCCUGCCCAACUACAUGUGUUGGAUUUAAGUGGCUGCUGGGUCUUAACAGAGUAUGCCAUCUCAUCAUUUCGUAGCCAUCACCCGAUGAUAGAGUUGAGACAUGAACUAAUUCAGGAACUUCAACCAAGCCACAUCGGUACUUCACAAGUUCGCAAGUCUAGGCAUCUUCCACGGGCAAAAACAAAAGUUUUUAAUAGCUCGGCUGAUUCUAGCAGGCAUUCUGGUAUCUUCUUCAUGGAUCAAAGGAUAAAAUACAGCAGGGAGAAAAUGCUGGAGAUCCAAGAUCUUACCCAAUCGAAUUCAGUGUUACAUGAUGUGCAGCUUCCACCAGAGCUGCGACGGAUGGAAUGA
rnacentral:rRNA from 1 species